GCUCCCAUGGCGUAGUGGUCACUGCGCUCGCCUUGGAGGCGGGAGACCCGGGUUCGAUUCCCGGCGGAGUCA
rnacentral:tRNA from 1 species